AUGUCUCGAUGGGGUUCCGCCACAACACAGUAUAACAAAACAAUGAGAGAAAUUAAGGUGAAAGGAAUGUUUCCUGCAGUUGAGUGUGCUAUGAUGGUAAAUUGUACCAGCAAAACCCGACCGUGCCACAAUUUUACGGAAGAUGGGCCUCCUCUUAAAUGUAAUCAAACAACCAAUGUAACCUUUAACUAUGCACAUAUUGUGCUCUCUACAGGAAUGUUUUGGCUAYGUGGGGUAAAAGCUUACUCCUACAUUCCAGCCAAUGCUACUGGUGGCYCCUGUACCAUAGGUCGCUUGAACAUCUAUAUGCCAAGCAAACAAGAGAUAGAGGGAAUAGCUGGGAAUCAAACACGAAAGAGGAGGGAGGCCUCAUCCCUCAACCCUGAAUGUAAUUCAGAAGUAAUCUUAUUCUCAGCAUCACAAAUCUCAGCUGCRGCAUUCCUURCACCUGGGGUGGGAGUUGCUAUGAACUAUCAAGCUAUAAAAAAGAUUGCAUGUUCUUUAGCUAAAACUAUCAACACCACUUCUGCUGUCUUAUCAGCAAUGCUUAAAGAUGUGCAAGCCUUGCAUGCCGCUGUAUUAGAAAACAGAGUGGCAGUUGACUAUCUUCUUUUACGACACAACCAUGGAUGUGAAGAAUUCAAAGGCAUGUGCUGCUUCAACCUGAGUGACCAUUCGACCCUGAUUGAAGGGGAGAUCACAAACCUUAAACRCCUAGCUUUGGACAUUAAACAGCAUAAUGAUAACGUGUUUAAUUGGCUGCAAAAAUUGUUCCAAAAUUUYGGACUGUCUGUAUCAGCUUGGCUCGCGUCGGGCUUACAAACUGUCAUAAUAAUUGCACUCAUGAUAAUCAUUAUAUGUAUUGCUUUUGYCUGCUUGAAAGCUUUAAUAUUACGCACAAUCUUUGCUAAGGUAAAUGCUUUAAACACAGGCUACUUGCCUUUGCAACAUAAGACCAAACCCAUGAUUGUCCUUGAGGGGCAAAAAAGGGGGGGUGURCGGCUGUGA
rnacentral:lncRNA from 1 species